rnacentral:rRNA from 1 species
AGCGGCGGACGGGUGAGUAAUGCCUAGGAAUCUGCCUGGUAGUGGGGGAUAACGUUCGGAAACGGACGCUAAUACCGCAUACGUCCUACGGGAGAAAGCAGGGGACCUUCGGGCCUUGCGCUAUCAGAUGAGCCUAGGUCGGAUUAGCUAGUUGGUGGGGUAAUGGCUCACCAAGGCUACGAUCCGUAACUGGUCUGAGAGGAUGAUCAGUCACACUGGAACUGAGACACGGUCCAGACUCCUACGGGAGGCAGCAGUGGGGAAUAUUGGACAAUGGGCGAAAGCCUGAUCCAGCCAUGCCGCGUGUGUGAAGAAGGUCUUCGGAUUGUAAAGCACUUUAAGUUGGGAGGAAGGGUUGUAGAUUAAUACUCUGCAAUUUUGACGUUACCGACAGAAUAAGCACCGGCUAACUCUGUGCCAGCAGCCGCGGUAAUACAGAGGGUGCAAGCGUUAAUCGGAAUUACUGGGCGUAAAGCGCGCGUAGGUGGUUUGUUAAGUUGGAUGUGAAAUCCCCGGGCUCAACCUGGGAACUGCAUUCAAAACUGACUGACUAGAGUAUGGUAGAGGGUGGUGGAAUUUCCUGUGUAGCGGUGAAAUGCGUAGAUAUAGGAAGGAACACCAGUGGCGAAGGCGACCACCUGGACUAAUACUGACACUGAGGUGCGAAAGCGUGGGGAGCAAACAGGAUUAGAUACCCUGGUAGUCCACGCCGUUAAACGAUGUCAACUUAGCCGUUGGAAGGCUCUUGAGCUUUU